rnacentral:rRNA from 1 species
GACGAACGCUGGCGGCGCGCUUAACACAUGCAAGUCGAACGGAAAGGCCUGCUUUCCCUUGUGGAUUGCGGGUACUCGAGUGGCGAACGGGUGAGUAACACGUGAGUGAUCUGCUCCCAACUUGGGUAUAAGCCUGGGAAACUGGGUCUAAUUCCCGAUAGGACUGCAGGGUGGUGCCUGUGGUGGAAAACGAUUUUCUAGUGGUUGGGGAUGAGCUCGCGGCCUAUCAGCUUGUUGGUGGGGUAAUGGCCUACCAAGGCGGCGACGGGUAGCCGGCCUGAGAGGGUGGACGGCGACAUUGGGACUGAGAUACGGCCCAGACUCCUACGGGAGGCAGCAGUGGGGAAUAUAGGACAAUGGGCGGAAGCCUGAUGCAGCGACGCCGCGUGGGGGAUGACGGCCUUCGGGUUGUAAGCUCCUUUCGACCGCGAGGAAGCCACCUGGUUGGAAGGGUGGUGACGGUAGUGGUAGAAGAAGCACCGGCUAACUACGUG